GAUGAACGCUGGCGGCGUGCCUAACACAUGCAAGUCGAACGAAGCAUCUUAUAGGAAGUUUUCGGAUGGAAUAUGGGAUGACUGAGUGGCGGACGGGUGAGUAACGCAUGGAUAACCUGCCUCACACUGGGGGAUAACAGUUAGAAAUGGCUGCUAAUACCGCAUAAGCGCACAGUACCGCAUGGUACGGUGUGAAAAACCCAGGUGGUGUGAGAUGGAUCCGCGUCUGAUUAGCCAGUUGGCGGGGUAACGGCCCACCAAAGCGACGAUCAGUAGCCGACCUGAGAGGGUGACCGGCCACAUUGGGACUGAGACACGGCCCAAACUCCUACGGGAGGCAGCAGUGGGGAAUAUUGCACAAUGGGCGAAAGCCUGAUGCAGCGACGCCGCGUGAGUGAAGAAGUAUCUCGGUAUGUAAAGCUCUAUCAGCAGGGAAGAAAAUGACGGUACCUGACUAAGAAGCCCCGGCUAACUACGUGCCAGCAGCCGCGGUAAUACGUAGGGGGCAAGCGUUAUCCGGAUUUACUGGGUGUAAAGGGAGCGUAGACGGCGAUGCAAGUCUGAAGUGAAAGCCCGGGGCUCAACCCCGGGACUGCUUUGGAAACUGUGUGGCUGGAGUGCAGGAGAGGUAAGUGGAAUUCCUAGUGUAGCGGUGAAAUGCGUAGAUAUUAGGAGGAACACCAGUGGCGAAGGCGGCUUACUGGACUGUAACUGACGUUGAGGCUCGAAAGCGUGGGGAGCAAACAGGAUUAGAUACCCUGGNUAGUCCACGCCGUAAACGAUGAAUGCUAGGGUGUCGGGGGGGCAAAGCCCCUCGGUGCCGCCGCUAACGCAAUAAGCAUUCCACCUGGGGAGUACGUUCGCAAGAAUGAAACUCAAAGGAAUUGACGGGGACCCGCACAAGCGGUGGAGCAUGGUGGUUUAAUUCGAAGCAACGCGAAGAACCUUUACCAAGUCUUGACAUCCCCCCUGACCGGACAGUAACGUGUCCCUUCCUCGGGACAGGGGAGAACAGGUGGGUGCAUG
rnacentral:rRNA from 1 species